AUUGAACGCUGGCGGCAUGCUUUACACAUGCAAGUCGAACGGCAGCGCGGGCUUCGGCCUGGCGGCGAGUGGCGAACGGGUGAGUAAUGCAUCGGAACGUGCCCAGUAGUGGGGGAUAGCCCGGCGAAAGCCGGAUUAAUACCGCAUACGACCUGAGGGUGAAAGCGGGGACCGAAAGGCCUCGCGCUAUUGGAGCGGCCGAUGUCGGAUUAGCUAGUUGGUGGGGUAAAGGCUUGCCAAGGCGACGAUCCGUAGCUGGUCUGAGAGGACGACCAGCCACACUGGGACUGAGACACGGCCCAGACUCCUACGGGAGGCAGCAGUGGGGAAUUUUGGACAAUGGGGGCAACCCUGAUCCAGCCAUGCCGCGUGCGGGAAGAAGGCCUUCGGGUUGUAAACCGCUUUUGUUCGGGAAGAAAUCCUCUGGGCUAAUACCCCGGGGGGAUGACGGUACCGGAAGAAUAAGCACCGGCUAACUACGUG
rnacentral:rRNA from 1 species